UUUAUAUAAAUGCAUCAUAAUUCUCAAUAUUCAGUCAGGAGCAGUGUGAGUAAGCUGAAGCAAUAUAUAAAGAUGUUUACAAUGACCAAAGCUGUAGUGCUUGCUGUUUUAUGUGGCGCAUGUUUUGGAAUGGCAAGUUAUGAGGUAAAUGAAGACUUCGAUAUGGAAGCAUUGGUAAAUGAUAAGGCCAGUUUUAAAGUCGCAGUCGAAUGUUUCUUGGAUAAAGCACCGUGUGGUGAAUUUCAGAUGUAUAAAGAUAUAGCACAAGAUACAGUAGAAGCAGCAUGUGAUCAAUGCAGCCCUAAACUGAAGCAUUUGGCCCAUACGUUUAUGCAGGGUCUGGAGAAAAACAAUCCCGAAUAUUACGGAGACUUCGUCAAGAAGUUCGACCCCACUGGCAAAUACAUGGACAAAUUCAUAAAAGCUGUUGAAGAUUUCUGAGGCACUGCUUAUGUACAACUUCCAUUGUAAUAAAUCAUGGGGUUUUCUAUAA